AAACUCCGUUUAAAGUUUAAAUCCUCCAGCUUUAAUCGUACACAUCCUCAUUAUUCUCUCCCUUCUCUGUGUGACAAAACUUAAGACAAUUAAAGUAAAAGUAAAAACAAGAACAGAUGAAACAUUUUAUGCAUUGAAUGGUUGGAAAACACCCAUAUGAGUAAUUACAUAACUGCUUUGCUUUUGCAUCACACUGUAUCCACAUCUUCAGCUAUUGCCAUGUUCUCCUUCCACAAAAUUCCUUGAGAAAAAAAAUACAUAAAAA
rnacentral:misc_RNA from 1 species